CCUGCAAAUUUGAGCUUGAGAUUGAGAUUUGAAAGCCGAAGCAAGCACAAGUCAUGGGAACCCUAAAUACAAAAUUUGCUGACUUGGGGAUUAUUUUCUGUCUUAUGGCUGGAACUUUUGGUUUUGGCCAUGACUGGCUGGGUGAAGGAGCUUAUUAUUGUAACAAGAAUUUCAGAAAUUGAGAUCUCUGAGGACCAACAAUUGAUUGAUUAUGUCACAGCCCAAUGCAACAUUUCACUGGAGCAAGACACCCUGCUUGGUGUUGGCUGCAAUAGAAGCUUCCCUGUCAAUAUAAAUGACAUGAGCACUGAAUUACAGCCACAGCCUUUCCAGGCAAUGAGCAUGAAGGAAAUGAUCAUCUAAACAGUAAUCAUUUCCAGCAGCCGCCUGUUGUUUCCCCAGUGGAUCAUGAUUCGAAUGUGCCAUACAACAUAUCAGUUGAUUGAAUCCUUCUCUGCAGCACGUCUCCAAUGAAUGUCCUGCAACAUGUCACUUACAACUCAGAGAACAGCAUGAAGAAUGUCCUUGUUCUUGUGAGAAUUGAUAAUGCCCUUGUAUUUGAUAGAGGUCAUGUGUUGAGCUGAACACGAAUGACGGUCAAAAAUUUAAUCUUUUCUAUAUGGUUUUGCAUGUAUAGCUGAUGUUUUGUAUGAUUCUUAAUUGUAGAUAAAGGAUGGGAUUCCUUGCUUAGUACCAACAGAUGGCAAGACCCUCGAGGUCGAUGAUAAGACCAAUGAGUUUUUUGAAUUUGAAUCAGAGUCUUCAUCAUAGACAUUAUAUCUCCACACAUAGAGAGUGCCUUAUGAUCCCUGUUGGAUUGAACCCAUACACAUUUUAUGCAUUUCUUUGAACAGCUCCUCAUU